GUCCCGUGCCCUUCGGGGCGUUUCCUCCCAAGACUUCGGGCCGCUCCCUUGUUGGGGCGGCCUUUUUUGUCGUCUGG
rnacentral:sRNA from 1 species